rnacentral:rRNA from 1 species
UACGUAGGGGGCAAGCGUUGUCCGGAAUCAUUGGGCGUAAAGCGCGCGUAGGCGGCCCGGUAAGUCCGUUGUGAAAGUCAAAGGCUCAACCUUUGAAUGCCGAUGGAUACUGCCGGGCUGGAGUCCGGAAGAGGCGAGUGGAAUUCCUGGUGUAGCGGUGGAAUGCGCAGAUAUCAGGAGGAACACCAAUAGCGAAGGCAGCUCGCUGGGACGGAACUGACGCUGAGGCGCGAAAGCGUGGGGAGCAAACAGG